rnacentral:rRNA from 1 species
UAGGGAAUCUUCCGCAAUGGACGAAAGUCUGACGGAGCAACGCCGCGUGAGUGAUGAAGGUUUUCGGAUCGUAAAACUCUGUUGUUAGGGAAGAACAAGUAUCGUUCGAAUAGGGCGGUACCUUGACGGUGCCUAACCAGAAAGCCACGGCUAACUACGUGCCAGCAGCCGCGGUAAUACGUAGGUGGCAAGCGUUGUCCGGAAUUAUUGGGCGUAAAGCGCGCGCAGGCGGUUUCUUAAGUCUGAUGUGAAAUCUUGCGGCUCAACCGCAAGCGGCCAUUGGAAACUGGGAGACUUGAGUGCAGAAGAGGAGAGUGGAAUUCCACGUGUAGCGGUGAAAUGCGUAGAGAUGUGGAGGAACACCAGUGGCGAAGGCGACUCUCUGGUCUGUAACUGACGCUGAGGCGCGAAAGCGUGGGGAGCGAACAGG